GAUGAAGAACGUAGCGAAAUGGGAUAAGUAAUGUGAAUUGCAGAAUUCAGUGAAUCAUCGAAUCUUUGAACGCACAUUGUGCCCGCCAGUAUUCUGGCGGGCAUGCCUGUUCGAGCGUCAUUACAACCCUCAGGCCCCCGGGCCUGGCGUUGGGGAUCGGCGGAGCCCCCCGUGGGCACACGCCGUCCCCCAAAUGCAGUGGCGGUCCCGCCGCAGCUUCCAUCGCGUAGUAGCUAACACCUCGCGACUGGAGAGCGGCGCGGCCACGCCGUAAAACACCCAACUCUUCUGAAGUUGACCUCGAAUCAGGAAGGAAUACCCGCUGAACUUAAGCAUAUCAAUAAGCGGAGGA
rnacentral:misc_RNA from 1 species